UCUCAUUUACUUUGAAGAGAGCAAUACGAGAUGUAUUAUUGAGAGAAAAAUAGUUGGUUUUAAUUCUCAACCUAUUGUUCUUUUUUUAUUUUCGUUCUAGACCUUUGCAUAUUGUCUUGAACCAUUGCUGGUUAAUUCGCUUUUAAGCCUCGCUGGCUGCAGCCACUUUCCCGUCGGGGUUGUCAGUGGCUCUUGGAACCACCGGUGACUUCACCAAGGCCAAUGGCAGCCGUCGGCAAUGCCACCAUCACCCCCUUGCCUAUACAUUUUUGAAGUUUUGCGUUCAUUUGGCGCAUGACAGUCCUUCGGGUCCAUCCGGAUCCUAGUGGAAGGGGGGAGCAGCAGCGGCUCUGACAAAGGACACAAGUGCAGCAGCUCUUAGCACUGAUAAGGCAGGGUCGUGCCAACCCACACCAAUCCUCUCGUAUGUAUUCUAAUUUAUCUAUCGAAAGCUCCAACCGGAUCAUUGACACAGGAGCAUCGCUGCAUUUAACCGGGACAUUGAGCCAUCUUCUGGAUUCCAAGCCGAUAGAACAUCCGCAUCCAAUUUGGGUGUCGGUCGGGAGAUCUGUGAAUGCUAAACGAAUUGGUCGAGUGCAAUCGGGGCCGGAUAUUAUGCCGAAGGAUGUGCUUUAUGUGCCAGAAUUUACCUGCAACUUGAUUUCUGUUCGGAGGCUGGCAGAGGAUUUAAAUUGUUCGGUCUCAUUAUUUGCAAACUUUUGUGUAAGGCAGGACCUGGCAUCGAGGAGGCUGAUUGGAGCGUGUAAAUUACAAGAGGGGUCUCUACUUCUUCGGGUUUGUGGUAUCUUCCUCGGCCUUGAGCGCAGUCAGGAAAGGAGAAUACGAGAAGUGGCACAGAAGAUUGGGACACCCAGCAAGAAAAGCGUUAUCUUUUAUUCCUGAAAUAAAACAAGUUAAUCAAGAGAAUAAAGCUUGCGAGAUAUGUUUUCAGGCUAAGAAGACUAUAACUAUAUUUCCUUUGAGUACCAGCAGAUAAAAGUAUUGUUUCGAUCUAAUACAUUCUGAUAUUUGGGGGCCC